CUUAGGACACCAUGUCCAUGCUGUGUCAUUCAUUCUUCACUAGUUUAUUGAUUCAGCAAAUAUGAAUCACUGGCUGCAUGCAAGACACUCUGCUAGACAUCGGAGAUCCCGCUGUGAACAAGCGUCACAACGGCCCUGCUUCCAUGGAGCUUGGGUCGCAGCAGAUGAAGAACAAAAGUAAACAACCGAGUACAGGAAGCAUUGUCACCUGAUGCCUCAACACAAACUGCCCUGGAUGGUGCCAGCUGGAGAAAGUGCACGCAAGCAGCAGUGGGCUUUGCCUGUGGCCAAGAGUCUCCUCCUCAUUGUCCUACCUCAAAUUCCCUCUCCGAUGGUGAAUUUUUACUGUCUCUAAAAAUAUUCAAAAAAGAGUGUCAACAAUCUGAGGGUCAUCCCAGAAACUCCAUGUCAUGUUCUGAACCGAAACCUCUCCAGAGAAGCAUGCCGCCACCCAAGGCAAGGGCAAGUGCUGGCAGGAUCAGCUCAACUGCGGGCAGAGCAAGAGGAGCCUAAACUCACAACCUCCUCCCAAGGACUUAACACUAUUUGUCAGUUCUCAGGACUAUGAGCCUUCCAAAAGAAAACAUUAGGCCAUUGUCACUUUCAAACACAAUAUCCCCAUAUUUUGGAGGAAAUGGGGCAAGCAGGUAAAUAUGGAGCCUUUGGGGAAAAAAAAGGAAAGAGAAGAGAAUGUAUUAACUAUGGGGUAUUAAAAUAUAGAAAUCCACAUUUUUACCCUGCUUCCUAAGAGA
rnacentral:lncRNA from 1 species